rnacentral:tRNA from 1 species
GAGGACGUAGCUCAGUGGUAGAGCGCGUGCUUAGCAUGCACAAUGUCCUGGGUUCAAUCCCCAGUACCUGCA